UAUUCUUUAUAGCUUGCUAUGGGGACAAUUAGUGGCAGACGGGUGAGUAAUGCAUAGGAAUCUACCUAGUAGUAUAGGAUAGCCACUAGAAGUGGUGGGUAAUACUGUAUAAUCCCUGCGGGGGAAAGAUUUAUCGCUACAUGAUGAGCCUAUGUUAGAUUAGCUAGUUGGUGGGGUAAUGGCCUACCAAGGCAGUGAUCUAUAGCUGGUCUGAGAGGAUGAUCAGCCACACUGGAACUGAGACACGGUCCAGACUCCUACGGGAGGCAGCAGUGGGGAAUAUUGGACAAUGGGCGCAAGCCUGAUCCAGCUAUGCCGCGUGAGUGAGGAAGGCCUUAGGGUU
rnacentral:rRNA from 1 species